ACAGCCUCCCAAGGCCCCCAUGGGGCCUUGGGCGGGGGCAUCAGCCAUGACCGGACGUUUAGAGUUCUGGUUCCGUCUCUCAUUUGGGGCGUCGGAUAAAAAUCCAGGCUUCCGGACCCAGCCCACACUGCAUCAGAGUCAUCAGGAAACUCUGGUUGUGGCAGGCGCCACAAGUGAGCUGGUUUGACCACUGACUUAGUUCAACACCGCCAUUUCGCUUGUAGAAAAGUGAACCCCGAGAAGGCACAGAACUUACCUGAAGUCGCCAGGCAGUUAGGCAGCAGGGCCGAGGUCAGAACCCGGGCUGUCUUCAGCUGCCUCUUCCCCAGCGUAUCUUGAUUCAGUCAGGAAUACCGCAGCAAGGGCUGCCCAGGAGCUGCAGGACAAGCACCAGGAGCCCCUCCGGGUAGCUACUACCCUGGACCCCCCAGUAGUGGAGGGCAGUAUGGUAGUGGGCUACCCCCUGGUGGUGGUUAUGGGGGUCCUGCCCCUGGAGGGCCUUAUGGACCACCAGCUGGUGGAGGGCCCUAUGGACACCCCAAUCCUGGGAUGUUCCCCUCUGGAACUCCAGGAGGACCAUAUGGCGGUGCAGCUCCAGGGGGCCCCUAUGGUCAGCCACCUCCAAGUUCCUACGGUGCCCAGCAGCCUGGGCUUUAUGGACAGGGUGGCGCCCCUCCCAAUGUGGAUCCUGAGGCCUACUCCUGGUUCCAGUCGGUGGACUCAGAUCACAGUGGCUAUA
rnacentral:sRNA from 1 species